CAAGCGAGCGAAGCCUUUGCCCUCGAGCGACGCCACACCAGAUCCUUCGCCGUCGCCCUCGCACAUCAAGCCGCUGCCCUCGCCCUCGCAGCUGCCGCCGAUCCCCUCCCCCAUCUUCCUCCCUCAAACGCCGCCGCCCGUCGCUGCCGCCCCCACCACCUCCCGUCGCGGCCGCCCGCCGCUACUCCUCUGCUAGCCUGAGCGAACGGAGCCAACCACCCGAAGGGAUCGAAGCGGCGGAGGAAGGGAGAGAUGGCGGCGGCGGCCGGGGGGAAGGAGAUGAUGCGGGCACCACACAUCCUGAUCAAGCACAAGGGGUCACGGUGCAAGGCGUCCUGGAAGGACCCCUAGGGCCGGGUCAUCUCCGCCACCACGCCGCUCCCGUGCGCAUCGGCGAGCUCCACGACCAGAUCCUCGCCGGCCGCGCCUCCUUCAUUGACCUCGCCGCGCAGGAUUCCGACUGAUCCUCCGCCCGCAAUGGCGGCGACCUAGGCUGCUACUGUUAUACUAUUUGAUAGCACAACUUCAUAUAUAAUGCUGCCGUGCACAUAACAGGAGAUUAGGUUUAUUACUUUUUCUCCUAGAUGGUGCGUUCUUAACAUGCAGGUAAUGCCUUUCUUUCUCGGGUCAACUUUUCUCUACCAUAGACGUGCUGAGAAGACGCAACCUGGCAGCCGCAGUCACUUGGUCUUCUUCAACGUGGGGACGGACGGACGGUGAGGGAUUCUCUGGUUCGUACUGUGUUUGUUGGAUUUCUAUUUGCUCAGCGUUUGUAGACUUUUAUAUCUAUUAAUAUAACGAUGUUCCUCUCCCUCUUAUCAACCUUUUUAUUUGGUUGUUAUGUGCUCGCUAGGUGCUUGCUGAAAUUCCUAUAUUAUGCAUGUGUAGAAUGGAUGAGAAUGUAGAUUAAUCCAACAUUUAAAAAAGAAAGUAGAUCAACCAAUAAAUUCAAUGCAGAAUAUACGAGGUGAAGAAUAUUACUGAAAUGCAAUCCUUCUUGCCGUUUGCUCUUACUAUGCAUUGGUAAAAACAGACACUGUUUGUGCAUCAUUAGUUUCUAUUUGAUAAAUUUUUGUUCAUGUAAUCCUUCACUAAUCACCAAUCCAGUAGUUUUAGCUUCCAAUUUUGUCUACGAGUACAGUACAUGACAAGCAAUCAGUGGAUGGCAUUCAAGUUGAAAAUUAGCUGCUAAUUCAUGAUAUACAGGUUGAUAUUAUCUGCACCCCAACUCAGGUCACAAGGUUUUGACUGAUUCCUCACACUUGGUAGACUUGCAAAUAAACCUUGCACCAUCUAAUUUUGAAGAAAUUCUGAACAUGCCUAAUUAUUAGUCUCAUUAACCAUUUUUUAUUUCUCAAAGGCUCUAAACUCCAGUCUAGCAGAUGAGCCUGAAUUGUUAUUGCUCUCUUGUUGCUUAGCCCCCUUCCCAAUUACUUUGUUUGGAAUCUCUCUCUUUAUGCCCCUCUGAUGGUUAGAGAGUGGUCUUGAAGAUCCUUUUGGAUUUUUAGACGGCCUUUGUAUAUACAGAGAUGCCAGGUUAUUAAUUGAUGCUACCAGCACUGGUUAGGAUUGGCUAAUGAACUGUGUUGUGUCCAUAGCCUUUGUGGCCCGUAACCGAUCUGAGAUGAAGCUCCAUGGAUUCCUUCAAUAAGUUGAUGAAGCUUUCCAUAAAUCUUCACAUAAUUGUUGACAAGUUCAGGGAUACAAAUAUAUCCAACUUCGACCUAAUGACUGAAUAUUUCAAUUCAGCUUGUGUGCUAAAUGAUGUUUAACUUCAGUUUGCCCAUAUUUAAAAUUGUGUGCACGAGUAUCUGCCUUGGUGAAAUUUCUGCACAGGUACAACCAGUGUGCACUCACAAAGGAUAACGGUAAAGGUCUCAUGGCGGAGACUAGCCAGACAUACAUCGGGAUGGUGGUUAGGAAUCAUCUGGGAUCUGUGGUUCUAUCUGCUGGCCGGCAAAUCAGUAAUGUGGAAGGGGCUGAGGAGGCGAAAGUGGAGGCUCUGAAAUUUGGUGUGCAAGUUCUAGCUGACGCCAUCCAAGGAGAAGUUAUUUCUUCGCAAAGUUGGAAAACAGGUCACAAUCUCAAUUUCUGACCAUCAAGUGUUUGUGUUUAUGCGCACAAGGCUUUUAAUUUUCUAUUUUGAUGCUCUGUGCUUUCUAGUUGAGGAGAAAUCUGUUAAUGCCCUGAAAUCUUAAAUCUUGACCACCAAGUCUUUGUGUUUAUGCCUACAAAGCUUUUCAAUGUCUUUUUCUGUCCAAUCAUAUAUGCUGCCAUGUAAUUUUUGUACCAAUUUUUUUGAUGAUAUACUCUAUGAUGCAGCAACUCGAUUUAAUUUGUGCAUGAUUAGUCAUCUAUUAAAUAAAUCAUCUAUGAAGGAAGGCAAGGGAAACUCAAACAAUCAUUUAGUUCUACAAGCAUGUACACCAUUUCAAGAAAGUAGUAUUAAAAAUUUGGUUGUUUUCCCAAGAUUAUCAAAAGAGAAACAUGGUAUGGAGUUUGUAUAUAAUCAACAUAUACAACACUUCUUUGUAGAAUAUGAUAUGUGAACAGUUAGAACUUUAAAUAAGUGUUCACAGGUUGCCUCCAAGCAUCCACUUCAGCCCAAGUCUUUCUCCAAUAUGUUGGCCAUUCUGUUGCUAGAACUCAGCGCCCAAUAAAUGCAUCUGCUGUAUAUAGAGAUCAUGAUACUACCUUGACUAAAUGUAGAAGUGUUGGGACAACAAUGCUUUUGAUAAAAAGCAUUAUAGUAAUAAUUUUGAAAGAUACAAGAAUAGCGAGAUGCCUACCUACGAAGAAAUCGUGAGUACAAGCCGAGUAUGAGGCAAAAUCAUGAUACAAAGAGCGAUGUUAUACAAUCUGCAGUUAGCCAUACCAUUACAAGUAGCUGGCGACACGGACACCGACUCAUCAACUCAAACAAGUCUAAUAACCAAAGGUAUUUUUUGUCAAUUGGUAUUAUUUCUUCGCUGGUAAUAUUUAUUAUUGUAAAUGGUGUGAUCUGAUGAUGUAUCCUGGGUACAAUUCAUUUACUUAAAUGAUGUAGUGGUCACUCUUGUAUAGUAUGAUCUGUAGUAUAGUCAGCUCUUUGUGAGGGCAACGUGAACCAAUAUAAGCACUAGGUUCUUCCUAAAUAGCACUUCACCUUUGUUGUGCAUUUUGAAGCUAUGAAGAAGUGCCAUUGGUUUCUGGUUAGAAGGCGCAGGUGGCUUGUCUUCGAAGAUUGAUUCUUAUUUAGUAGUAGUGUGUUGCAGUAAAGCUUUCUCUUUUGUGUAAACUUGUAAUGAACCGUGUGCUCUUAUUAUUUGGGCAGUAAUGUCAUGCUGGUCAAACUACUUUUAUGUGA